GUAGGGAAUAUUGGGCAAUGGGCGAAAGCCUGACCCAGCAACGCCGCGUGUGCGAUGAAGGUCUUCGGAUCGUAAAGCACUUUUCGAGGAGAUGAGAAAGGACAGUAUCCUCGGAAUAAGUCUCGGCUAACUACGUGCCAGCAGCCGCGGUAAAACGUAGGAGGCAAGCGUUAUCCGGAUUUACUGGGCGUAAAGCGCGUGCAGGCGGUUCGGUAAGUUGGAUGUGAAAGCUCCUGGCUCAACUGGGAGAUGUCGUUCAAUACUACCGAACUGGAGAGCAGUAGAGGGAGAUGGAAUUCCCGGUGUAGUGGUGAAAUGCGUAGAUAUCGGGAGGAACACCAGUGGCGAAAGCGAUCUCCUGGACUGUUUCUGACGCUCAGACGCGAAAGCUAGGGUAGCAAACGGGAUUAGAAACCCCUGUAGUCC
rnacentral:rRNA from 1 species